AGAGGGUGCAAACGUUGCUCGGGAUUUACUGGGGCGUAAAGCGCGUGUAGGCGGACUCGCAAGUCGGUUGUGAAAUCCCUGGGGCUCAACCUAGGGAACUGCAUCCGAAACUGCUUGUCUUGAGUAAUGGAGAGGGUGGCGGAAUUCCCGGUGUAGAGGUGAAAUUCGUAGAUAUCGGGAGGAACAUCAGUGGCGAAGGCGGCCACCUGGACAUUUACUGACGCUGAGACGCGAAAGCGUGGGGAGCAAACAGGAUUAGAUACCCUGGUAGUCCACGCCGUAAACGAUGAGCACUAGGUGCAGCGGAUAUUGACCUCUGCUGUGCCGUAGCUAACGCGUUAAGUGCUCCGCCUGGGGAGUACGGCCGCAAGGCUA
rnacentral:rRNA from 1 species